GCAUAACGCGAAGAACCUUACCAAGGCUUGACAUCCCCUGCAUAGGAUGGAAACAUUUGAAGUCGUAGCAAUACGACAGGGAGACAGGUGGUGCAUGGUUGUCGUCAGCUCGUGUCGUGAGAUGUUGGGUUAAGUCCCGCAACGAGCGCAACCCCUAUCCUUAGUAGCCAGCAUGAAAGAUGGGCACUCUAGGGAGACUGCCAGGGAUAACCUGGAGGAAGGCGGGGAUGACGUCAAAUCAUCAUGCCCCUUAUGAUCUGGGCUACACACGUGCUACAAUGGUGACUACAAAGGGAAGCAAUCUCGCGAGAGCAAGCAAAUCCCAAAAAGGUCAUCCCAGUUCGGAUUGUAGUCUGCAACUCGACUACAUGAAGCUGGAAUCGCUAGUAAUCGUGAAUCAGAAUGUCACGGUGAAUACGUUCCCGGGUCUUGUACACACCG
rnacentral:rRNA from 1 species